ensembl:lincRNA
AUGGAGGGUGGCCCACACCCCUACAUUCACCUCACACACAGGCAGUGCCCAGAAGGAGAAGGACCCCUAAUCACAGGAACUCUUGAGGCGCUAUGCAGCGGAGACCACCUGCCCUUUGGAAUGGAGAUGGCCAUUUGGGCCAAUACCCAUCUGUGGGGUCUGUCGGGACCUCAUCCUGGCCUGGCUAGAGUCAGGGAGGCUGGCAUCCCAGACCCCAGACAUCACCGCCCAGCACCUGUACCUGCCCUGAAAGCUGGGACAAGCUCUGAGGCCGCAGGACAGGAAGUAUCUGCAGACCAAGACAUCCCGAGCCCCUGCCCUCUGGUGGGCAAAGGGCAAGUGGGGUAGGGUCUGAGUGGGUACCCUGGGGGCAGGAGGACAGGAGAGCAUGGGCAGAUGGGGUGACAAGACUCGGGGACACUUGGGGAGGAGCAGAAUUUGGAGACAGGUGGGAGGACAUCGGACUGCAUGGGUAGAACUGCAGGGUGCUGAGCAGCUGAGCAAGGGGAGCCAAGGGAGGCUGACUCCCAGUGCCCCUUAGAAACCCCCAUUGCCGAACUGGGCAUGGCGCAUAUGUAAUCCCAGCAUGGGGAGACUGAGGCAGGAGGAUCGUGAAUUCUAGGCCUGGCCUACAAGGGGAGACCUUGUUUCAGAAAGGAAAAAGGAAACCCAGAGUUCCAACCAGCACCUUCGAUCACCCCAGGGCGGGGACUGGGGUGCAGGAACGGCCUGUCUGGACAGAUAUUUCUGGGGAGACAUGUUCAAGGAAACAUUCUUUUAAAAAUGUGCAUGUUAGGGCUGGCGUACACUCAGAGGCACAGCACCUGCCCAGCAUGGGCAAGGCCCCUCCGGUCCACUACAUCUGCCCUGCCUCUGUGUUCCUGCCGUCUCUCCUCUCCUCGGGCUUCCCAGGGCUCCAGCUUCUCCUCCUCCCAGCACCAAAUAAACAAAAACAAAAAUAAAAAAACAUACAUUUUAAUGUUUAAACUGCCAAAGGCAACCUAAGUGCAGAAAUGCACACUGAGCCUCCCCUGCAGUUAAACAGCAGUGAAGACAACAUAACAUGUCCCCAGGUCCCCAAGCAAUGCCUUGCCAGCACCCCAGCACCCCACUGGGCCCUGGCCAGACUUUCCCUUAUGAGGCUCCACUUGGGCUGGACAGAGACACAUCCAUGCCACCCCACGGCUGCCAGGUUCCGGGUGACAAAGCUGGGUGUGAGGACAGAAACCCAGGGGCCCACCAUGACCUCCCUGUGCUCUGUCUGCAUCCAGCCUCUGGCCUUGGGGCUGCACACGGUGAACAGUCAGGAUACCUCCUCCAAAAAGCAGGAAAAGUGAUGCUACAGGUCUAAGAUACAGAGCUCUUUCCCUUUCAUGGUCUCUUCCUUAACUUGCAGUGUUACCUGUCACAUCAUUCAGGGUAAAGAAAGUAUCAAAGUCAUUACCUUGGUUUGACUCUGUGUUGUGGGAGGUGAAACGCAGUGCCUGGGCCCCAUGAGGUCGCGGAGAUUCCCGGGUUCCCAUGUCAUGGCCAUCGGCAGGCGGAUUUGCUGAUACUACAGGACUGGAAAACCCUGCACUAUGCUAACUCAGCAUUUUAUUUUGGUUGUGGUAAAAUAAAUAACAAAAAUUUCCACGAACCUCUUUUAAACCUGCACUCCAGUGGCGCUGAGUACAUGUGCAGGCCCAUAUAGCCGUCACCACCAGAACUUUUCAUGUCCUCAGACUGAAAUUCUGUCCCACUGAACAACUCACCCUCUCUUCUGUCUCCACCGAUGAUGACUUCUCACCCACAGGCAGCACCGCCCCAGGCUCAGGCCUCACCCUGCCCUCUGGAGGCCAUGUCCUGGGCGGCGGUCCCUCCCUGUGCCCUUGAAUGCCAAGACAAGGCUCUGGGUGAAGCCCCGCCCGCGGCUGAAGGGGAAGAGAACUUGCCAGGCUUGGCCAGCACUGGCUCUUCACAACACUGUCCCGCUGGUGGUUUCAAGACUUCACUGGGCACCUGCUGGGCACCUUGCGGUUUCUGUGGGUCUGGGCCCUGUGGUAGGUUGGCUAUGUCUCUCUGCCUAGGGGUCCCCUCAAGAUGAAGGCCAAGGCUGCCAUCUCCUCUGAAGGUACACAUGCACCCUGACAGCCGCUUGGUGCGGCCUGCGCUCCAGGAAGGGCAGCUGUAAUCCAAGGACAUCGAGGUUUUCUCGGACUUGGGGGCAGCGAGGCCUUGGUCAGCACGCAGCUGGGUCCCUGUGGGUGACAAGGGCACUUAGGGACAGAGCUGACAGCUCAGGCCGUCCUCCG